rnacentral:misc_RNA from 1 species
UGAACUCUUCAAAACUCAGCUAGGCUUACUUACACCCCUAUGCCCAGCUUAGAUGGUUACAUGUUGUCCAUGUGUUACACGUUCUCAGGCUCGAGACUUCAUGCAUGCAAGCUUCAAUAAAUUCUUUUAGUAAGUUGAACAAACUGUUUAAUGUUGGCCGGAUUGAUUGAGUUGACUCCGAUUUUUCACAAAUAGAGUUUG